rnacentral:lncRNA from 1 species
UUUCAGGUUGAUGUGUCUGUUGCAUAGAACAUGUAGAAGAGAUUUUGUAUUUUGCGCAAAUUUACUUUUGGGAUUUUCAUGAUACACAAAUAGGAGUAUUUUUCUCACAGCGUUAUGAAGACUGUGAUUUUGGAUAUAAAGUAGAAGCAUAAUGAUAUGACAACUGAACCAUGAUGACUGGAUUUUCCUGUUCUCUUUGCUCAACAAUUUUAUUUUGAUUUUGAAUAUCCUAUGAAUAUUGAGAAGGAAGUGUACAAGAAAAUUAAAUAUUUGUGCAGUGUAUAAUGUACAUUUGAUUGGAUUUAACAAGCAUAAAAGUAUUGGAUUUGUGAUAGUAUUUGGAUUAUGUCUGUGUGAAAAUGUGAUUCUAGAAUUUUCCUGAUCUAAUCUGAGUGUCUUAGCAUAAGGAACUGCUGAUGUACAUGUAUCAUAACCCUUUUUAUGCAUAAUGUUUUUUU